GAUGAACGCUGGCGGCGUGCCUAAUACAUGCAAGUCGAGCGAACGGACGAGAAGCUUGCUUCUCUGAUGUUAGCGGCGGACGGGUGAGUAACACGUGGAUAACCUACCUAUAAGACUGGGAUAACUUCGGGAAACCGGAGCUAAUACCGGAUAAUAUUUUGAACCGCAUGGUUCACAAGUGAAAGACGGUCUUGCUGUAACUUAAAGAUGGAGCCGCCCUGCAUUAGCUAGUUGGUAAGGUAACGGCUUACCAAGGCAACGAUGCAUAGCCGCCCUGAAAGGGUGAUCAGCCACACUGGCACUGAGGCACGGUCCAGACUCCUACGGGAGGCAGCAGCAGGGAAUCUUCCGCAAUGGGCGAAAGCCUGACGGAGCAACGCCGCGUGAGUGAUGAAGGUCUUCGGAUCGUAAAACUCUGUUAUUCGGGAAGAACAUAUGUGUAAGUAACUGUGCACAUCUUGACGGUACCUAAUCAGAAAGCCACGGCUAACUACGUG
rnacentral:rRNA from 1 species